rnacentral:rRNA from 1 species
AUUGAACGCUGGCGGAAUGCUUUACACAUGCAAGUCGAACGGUAGAGGGGGCAACCCCUUGAGAGUGGCGAACGGGUGAGUAAUAUAUCGGAACGUGCCCAGUCGUGGGGGAUAACGUAGCGAAAGUUACGCUAAUACCGCAUGAGAACUGAGGUUGAAGGCGGGGGACCUUCGGGCCUCGCGCUACUGGAGCGGCCGAUAUCAGAUUAGGUAGUUGGUGGGGUAAAGGCCUACCAAGCCGACGAUCUGUAGCUGGGUCUGAGAGGACGACCAGCCACACUGGGACUGAGACACGGCCCAGACUCCUACGGGAGGCAGCAGUGGGGAAUUUUGGACAAUGGACGCAAGUCUGAUCCAGCAAUGCCGCGUGCAGGACGAAGGCCUUCGGGUUGUAAACUGCUUUUGUACAGAACGAAAAGGCUCUGGUUAAUACCUGGGGCUCAUGACGGUACUGUAAGAAUAAGCACCGGCUAACUACGUG